rnacentral:lncRNA from 1 species
GGUCGUUCACCUUCCUCGGGGGCUGCGCGCUCAGGAACCACAUGAUUUCCUGGGAGGUCCCACUCACUCUUGGCAAAAAAAACCAGAAACACAAACCAAAAACGAAACUGCUUGAUUUUUUGGGGGCUGAAGGGCGAGCUGCCUCCCAGCACCAUGGGGAUUCUCCUCAGGCAGGACAGCGGAGAAGGGAUGGAGGGCUACCACCCCCAGUGCCCCCACCCCGCCAAGAGAGCCUGGGUGACGUACGUGGCCGUGGUUCUUGGGGUGGCCGUGGUGGCACUGGUGGCAGCCCUUGUCACCGUCCUCUACCAGAGAGCCGAGGGCUCCGCCAUGGCGAGGAACAGCUCGGAAGUGCUGGUGCAGCUGGAGAAGGCACUGGAUGUCACCAACCAGUCCCUCGUCGAUGCCCGCGGGCGGUGGGAAGGGUGCAGGAAGCAGCUGGUAGGUGUUGGGGUGCUGCUUGGUGGGUGGAGGGGGGCAGGACCCUGUGGGGGAAAACUCUAGCCCCCCCCCCAGACCCAAACUGGCCACCUUUGGGUGGUGUGAGGGACAACCCGAGUUGGAGGGUCCAGCCCCUUCCUUCUGCCCAGGGUGCGCUGGAGGGAAAGGCCUUGGAACUGGAGUGGGCACUGGCCAAUGUCACCGAGCUGCAAGAGGAGAACAGGGCGCUCAAGGCGGAGGUGGCCCAGCAGCAGGAGCAACUGAGAGACCUGCAGAGCAAAUGGGAGAAGCUCCAGCUGCAGAACCAGAUCCUGGAGAACCAGCUCUGGGACAUGAGGAGCCAGCACUCGAAUGGGAACAGUCUCCAGGCCACGUCCCUCAGCCUCCUGGCUCUCCUCCUCCUCCUCCUCCCUGGGAUGCUCCUCCUGUGAGGGAGGGCAAGAACAUGGGCCCCACUGAUUCCUGACCCCCGAUGUGGGGUGAGGAGGGACCAUCCCCAUCCAGCCCGGUGGGGUCUGGGGGUGGCAGCGGGUUCAGUGCCACCCGUGGGAGCCCAGUGCCCGCUCAGCCCUGCCCUGUGACUGCCCACACUGUCCUGUACCCCCCCUGCACCUUCUCUCUGCUCACCAAACUGCCCCCCUUCACCCUGGGGACACCCCAGGGAUGUGAUUUCCCUCCAGCCACCAAGCACUGGCUCUUCCUAGGGUGAGGGAGGGGACAAGUGGACGGGCUGGAGGGGACAGAGACGUGUCAGGGCUGCUCUGAGUCGAGGGGACCACAAGCUCUACCCCAUUAGGUCAUUUUUUCAUUUUUACCCCAUUUCCAAUAAAACCUUUGUGAAACCCCA